rnacentral:rRNA from 1 species
UAACAAGGAUUCCCCUAGUAACUGCGAGUGAAGCGGGAAAAGCUCAAAUUUAAAAUCUGGCGGCUUUUGUCGUCCGAGUUGUAUUCUAGAGAAGCGUUUUCCGCGUUGGACCGUGUACAAGUCUCUUGGAACAGAGCGUCAUAGAGGGUGAGAAUCCCGUCUUUGACACGGACUACCAGUGCUUUGUGAUGCGCUCUCAAAGAGUCGAGUUGUUUGGGAAUGCAGCUCAAAAUGGGUGGUAAAUUCCAUCUAAAGCUAAAUAUUGGCGAGAGACCGAUAGCGAACAAGUACCGUGAGGGAAAGAUGAAAAGCACUUUGGAAAGAGAGUUAAACAGUACGUGAAAUUGCUGAAAGGGAAACGCUUGAAGUCAGUCGCGUUAGCUACAACUCAGCCAGGCUUGCUUGGUGCACUUUGUAGUUGACGGGCCAGCAUCAGUUUUGACCGCAGGAAAAAGGCCAGGGAAAUGUGGCACCUUCGGGUGUGUUAUAGUCCUUGGUUGUAUACUGUGAUUGGGACUGAGGCUCUCAGCACGCUUUUGUUGUGCUUAGGAUGCUGGCGUAAUGGCUUUAAACGAC